rnacentral:tRNA from 1 species
AAAUAGGAAGCAAUUAUGCAUUUAGUUUCGACCUAAAAGAGAAUAUUUACCAAUAUUCCUAUUUU